rnacentral:rRNA from 1 species
AGCGUACACGGUGGAUGCCUAGGCAGUCAGAGGCGAUGAAGGGCGUGCUAAUCUGCGAAAAGCGUCGGUAAGGUGAUAUGAACCGUUAUAACCGGCGAUACCCGAAUGGGGAAACCCAGUGUGUUUCGACACACUAUCAUGUCAUGAAUACAUAGUGGCAUGAGGCGAACCGGGGGAACUGAAACAUCUAAGUACCCCGAGGAAAAGAAAUCAACCGAGAUUCCCCCAGUAGCGGCGAGCGAACGGGGAGGAGCCCAGAACCUGAAUCGGCUUGUGUGUUAGUGGAAGCGUCUGGAAAGUCGCGCAGCAAAGGGUGAUAGCCCCGUACACUAAAAUGCACAGGUCGUGAGUUCGAUGAGUAGGGCGGGACACGUGACAUCCUGUCUGAAUAUGGGGGGACCAUCCUCCAAGGCUAAAUACUCCUGACUGACCGAUAGUGAACCAGUACCGUGAGGGAAAGGCGAAAAGAACCCCGGCGAGGGGAGUGAAAUAGAACCUGAAACCGUGUACGUACAAGCAGUGGGAGCACCUUCGUGGUGUGACUGCGUACCUUUUGUAUAAUGGGUCAGCGACUUAUAUUUUGUAGCAAGGUUAACCGUAUAGGGGAGCCGUAGGGAAACCGAGUCUUAACUGGGCGAUUAGUUGCAAGGUAUAGACCCGAAACCCGGUGAUCUAGCCAUGGGCAGGUUGAAGGUUGGGUAACACUAACUGGAGGACCGAACCGACUAAUGUUGAAAAAUUAGCGGAUGACUUGUGGCUGGGGGUGAAAGGCCAAUCAAACCGGGAGAUAGCUGGUUCUCCCCGAAAGCUAUUUAGGUAGCGCCUCGUGAACUCAUCUUCGGGGGUAGAGCACUGUUUCGGCUAGGGGGCCAUCCCGGCUUACCAAACCGAUGCAAACUCCGAAUACCGAAGAAUGUUAUCACGGGAGACACACGGCGGGUGCUAACGUCCGUCGUGAAGAGGGAAACAACCCAGACCGCCAGCUAAGGUCCCAAAGUCAUGGUUAAGUGGGAAACGAUGUGGGAAGGCACAGACAGCCAGGAUGUUGGCUUAGAAGCAGCCAUCAUUUAAAGAAAGCGUAAUAGCUCACUGGUCGAGUCGGCCUGCGCGGAAGAUGUAACGGGGCUAAACCAUGCACCGAAGCUGCGGCAGCGACGCUUAGGCGUUGUUGGGUAGGGGAGCGUUCUGUAAGCCGUUGAAGGUGGCCUGUGAGGGUUGCUGGAGGUAUCAGAAGUGCGAAUGCUGACAUAAGUAACGAUAAAGCGGGUGAAAAGCCCGCUCGCCGGAAGACCAAGGGUUCCUGUCCAACGUUAAUCGGGGCAGGGUGAGUCGACCCCUAAGGCGAGGCUGAAAAGCGUAGUCGAUGGGAAACAGGUUAAUAUUCCUGUACUUGGUGUUACUGCGAAGGGGGGACGGAGAAGGCUAGGCUGGCCGGGCGACGGUUGUCCCGGUUUAAGCGUGUAGGGGGUGUGACCUGGUAAAUCCGGUUGCAUAUCAACCCUGAGGCGUGAUGACGAUGCACUACGGUGCAGAAGUAGUUGAUGCCCUGCUUCCAGGAAAAUCCUCUAAGCUCCAGGUAACAUUAAAUCGUACCCCAAACCGACACAGGUGGUCAGGUAGAGAAUACCAAGGCGCUUGAGAGAACUCGGGUGAAGGAACUAGGCAAAAUGGUGCCGUAACUUCGGGAGAAGGCACGCUGGCAUGUAGGUGAAGUCCCUUGCGGAUGGAGCUGAAGCCAGUCGAAGAUACCAGCUGGCUGCAACUGUUUAAUAAAAACACAGCACUGUGCAAACACGAAAGUGGACGUAUACGGUGUGACGCCUGCCCGGUGCUGGAAGGUUAAUUGAUGGGGUCAGCCGCAAGGCGAAGCUCUUGAUCGAAGCCCCAGUAAACGGCGGCCGUAACUAUAACGGUCCUAAGGUAGCGAAAUUCCUUGUCGGGUAAGUUCCGACCUGCACGAAUGGCGUAAUGAUGGCCAGGCUGUCUCCACCCGAGACUCAGUGAAAUUGAACUCGCUGUGAAGAUGCAGUGUACCCGCGGCAAGACGGAAAGACCCCGUGAACCUUUACUAUAGCUUGACACUGAACAUUGAGCCUUGAUGUGUAGGAUAGGUGGGAGGCUUUGAAGCGUGGACGCCAGUCUGCGUGGAGCCAUCCUUGAAAUACCACCCUUUAAUGUUUGAUGUUCUAACUCGGCCCCAUAAUCUGGGGUGAGGACAGUGUCUGGUGGGUAGUUUGACUGGGGCGGUCUCCUCCCAAAGAGUAACGGAGGAGCACGAAGGUUAGCUAAUCACGGUCGGACAUCGUGAGGUUAGUGCAAAGGCAUAAGCUAGCUUGACUGCGAGAGUGACGGCUCGAGCAGGUACGAAAGUAGGUCUUAGUGAUCCGGUGGUUCUGAAUGGAAGGGCCAUCGCUCAACGGAUAAAAGGUACUCCGGGGAUAACAGGCUGAUACCGCCCAAGAGUUCAUAUCGACGGCGGUGUUUGGCACCUCGAUGUCGGCUCAUCACAUCCUGGGGCUGAAGUAGGUCCCAAGGGUAUGGCUGUUCGCCAUUUAAAGUGGUACGCGAGCUGGGUUUAGAACGUCGUGAGACAGUUCGGUCCCUAUCUGCCGUGGGCGUUGGAAGAUUGAGAGGGGUUGCUCCUAGUACGAGAGGACCGGAGUGAACGCACCACUGGUGUUCGGGUUGUCAUGCCAAUGGCAUUGCCCGGUAGCUAAGUGCGGAAAAGAUAAGCGCUGAAAGCAUCUAAGCGCGAAACUUGCCUCAAGAUGAGUCU